rnacentral:rRNA from 1 species
GGUGCUGAAGCAACAAAUGCCCUGCUUCCAGGAAAAGCCUCUAAGCAUCAGGUAACAUCAAAUCGUACCCCAAACCGACACAGGUGGUCAGGUAGAGAAUACCAAGGCGCUUGAGAGAACUCGGGUGAAGGAACUAGGCAAAAUGGUGCCGUAACUUCGGGAGAAGGCACGCUGAUAUGUAGGUGAAGCGACUUGCUCGUGGAGCUGAAAUCAGUCGAAGAUACCAGCUGGCUGCAACUGUUUAUUAAAAACACAGCACUGCGCAAACACGAAAGUGGACGUAUACGGUGUGACGCCUGCCCGGUGCCGGAAGGUUAAUUGAUGGGGUUAGCGCAAGCGAAGCUCUUGAUCGAAGCCCCGGUAAACGGCGGCCGUAACAAUAACGGUCCUAAGGUAGCGAAAUUCCUUGUCGGGUAAGUUCCGACCUGCACGAAUGGCGUAAUGAUGGCCAGGCUGUCUCCACCCGAGACUCAGUGAAAUUGAACUCGCUGUGAAGAUGCAGUGUACCCGCGGCAAGACGGAAAGACCCCGUGAACCUUUACUAUAGCUUGACACUGAACAUUGAGCCUUGAUGUGUAGGAUAGGUGGGAGGCUUAGAAGUGUGGACGCCAGUCUGCAUGGAGCCGACCUUGAAAUACCACCCUUUAAUGUUUGAUGUUCUAACGUUGACCCGUAAUCCGGGUUGCGGACAGUGUCUGGUGGGUAGUUUGACUGGGGCGGUCUCCUCCUAAAGAGUAACGGAGGAGCACGUAGGUUGGCUAAUCCUGGUCGGACAUCAGGAGGUUAGUGCAAUGGCAUAAGCCAGCUUGACUGCGAGCGUGACAGCACGAGCAGGUGCGAAAGCAGGUCAUAGUGAUCCGGUGGUUCUGAAUGGAAGGGCCAUCGCUCAACGGAUAAAAGGUACUCCGGGGAUAACAGGCUGAUACCGCCCAAGAGUUCAUAUCGACGGCGGUGUUUGGCACCUCGAUGUCGGCUCAUCACAUCCUGGGGCUGAAGUAGGUCCCAAGGGUAUGGCUGUUCGCCAUUUAAAGUGGUACGCGAGCUGGGUUUAGAACGUCGUGAGACAGUUCGGUCCCUAUCUGCCGUGGGCGCUGGAGAACUGAGGGGGGCUGCUCCUAGUACGAGAGGACCGGAGUGGACGCAUCACAGGUGUUCGGGUUGUCAUGCCAAUGGCACUGCCCGGUAGCUAAAUGCGGAAGAGAUAAGUGCUGAAAGCAUCUAAGCACGAAACUUGCCCCGAGAUGAGUUCUCCCUGACCCUUUAAGGGUCCUGAAGGAACGUUGAAGACGACGACGUUGAUAGGCCGGGUGUGUAGGCGCAGCGAUGCGUUGAGCUAACCGGUACUAAUGAACCGUGAGGCUUAACC